GACGAACGCUGGCGGCGCGCCUAACACAUGCAAGUCGAACGAGCGAGAGAGAGCUUGCUUUCUCCAGCGAGUGGCGAACGGGUGAGUAACGCGUGAGGAACCUGCCUCAAAGAGGGGGACAACAGUUGGAAACGACUGCUAAUACCGCAUAAGCCCACAGGUCGGCAUCGACCAGCGGGAAAAAGAGCAAUCCGCUUUUAGAUGGCCUCGCGUCCGAUUCGCUAGUUGGUGAGGUAACGGCCCACCAAGGCCACGAUCGGUAGCCGGACUGAGAGGUUGAACGGCCACAUUGGGAAUGAGACACGGCCCAGACUCCUACGGGAGGCAGCAGUGGGGAAUAUUGCACAAUGGGAGAAACCCUGACGCAGCGACGCCGCGUGGAGGAAGAAGGUCUUAGGAUUGUAAAAUCCUGUUGUAGAGGAAGAUAAUGACGGUACUCGAAAAAGAAGUGACGGCUAACUAAGUG
rnacentral:rRNA from 1 species